UACUAUUAGGAUUAGGAAUCCCAAGCUAAGAAAAUACUAACCAUUCUAACUAGGAAUAUAAAGCCAACACUAACUGGGAAAUUCUAAACCACAAUUACCUAAUUUGCUCCUUCUAUGAACCACGAUUUGAUCGUGUGUCGUGGAACAUGGUUCGUCGCUGCUUUUUCAGUUAGUUUUUCCUUCUAAUUAUUUGUUUGAUGCAAGAAGAUUUUUCUUUGUAUUGUUUGAAGUUUCUCUAGGGUCGAAUUUGGUUCUCUUACAAUCCUGAGGUGGUGAUAUGAAAUUCUGACCUAAUCAUAAAAGAAAUAGAGAACUUGUUGUCCAACAAUGAAGAUUGUGAUGUUGUGGCAGCUUUUCACAUUUAUGUGUACUAAAACAAUGGUUUUAUACGCUGUAUCAGAGAAAGAAAACCCAAAUAAAUUGGAAUACGAAGAAAAUAAUGUCUGGAUCCUUUAUCCGUAGGAUCUAAUUGAUAGAUGAAGCAUUUUGAAAAUCAAUGUGCAAAAAUUCUUAUGGUAUUUUAAUUUUAUGGGAGGCUUUCUAGAUAGUGCAAGUUAUAAUUUUAUGAUGAUCAGUGCAGGAACUUGAUACUUCAACCAUUAGAAAACAGUGAGGCCAAUUAGCCUAAGUAGAGAAUGUGUAGAAAGUUGGGAACAAAAUUUUAGAAUUAUUUCUUUCAUGGAUAGAUGGACAUUGUUUAUUUUCUUACCUUUAUCUGAUUUGGCC
rnacentral:misc_RNA from 1 species